rnacentral:tRNA from 1 species
UGGCUAUGUAGCUCAGUUGGUUAGAGCACAGCACUCAUAACGCUGAUGUCAGUGGUUCAAUUCCACUCAUAGCCAU